ensembl:lncRNA CRNDE colorectal neoplasia differentially expressed
GCUCGCGCCAGCCACGAGGGAGCGUCCGCGGCCCGCGCGCCCGCGCGGCGGAGGAGAGGUGAGCCCCCGCCCGGGCCAGGCCCUCUGGCCGCGCCGUCCGCCCCUCUAGUCGUGUCCCCUCGUGGGCCGAACGGACGCGGCGGUGCCCCGCGCCCGACCAGACGUCCCGUGGGCUAGGGCCUGGGCCUCGGGCCGCGUCGGCGCCGGUCGAGCCUCUCCGGGUGUCGGGGUUCGGGGCGGGCGCGCGUGGGCGUGGCUCCUCUGUCCACGCCUGUUCCCUUCGUCGCCGCGGCUCUCGUCCGGGACACGGCUUUCCGGAGUAGAGCCCUUGGAGGUGUUAAGUGUGAUGCUUCCAUAAUACAUUUGGAUGCUGUCAGCUAAGUUCACUUCUGAACUAAGGGGUUCCUCCAAAUGUUGGCUGAAAUUCAUCCCAAGGCUGGUCUGCAAAGUCUGCAAUUCAUAAUGGAGCUACUGUACUGGCUAUUGGAAGGAGGAGAUUCUGAAGAUAAGGAGGUAAAACCUGUUUAGAAAUUAAAAAUGAGUUACGAUUUAAAGAAAAUUCAGAUGACUCAUUGUGAGUGCUAGUUCUCUUGUAGGAUGCCACUGGAAAUGUUGAAAUGAAAAAUAUUCAGCCGUUGGUCUUUGAAAUUUCCUGUGAUGUGUUUCAAUCUAGAUGCAAAGAACAUGGAAAAAUCAAAGUGCUCGAGUGGUUUAAAUAUGUUUUGGGUAUUCCUGUUUAUAGACUAUAAUACUUUUCCAAUUAAAAUCCUCAGUUGUCACGCAGAAGAAGGUUAAGCUGUAUUUGAUUGCCAGUUUUACUGAAAAUGCUUAGUAUUUUACAGUAUCACCAAAUAUAUUUUGUUUAGCCAAGGUAUAGGAAAAAUAAAAUAAAUUGUAUAGGUUGACUUUUUUCUAAAAUGUCUUUAUUGGAUUGAAUGAAUGUUUAUACCUGAAAAAAAAAGGUUCAAAAAAAUUCCUUUUUCUAUCAGAGUCAUUCUUUUGACAAUCAGAUAUUAGACUAGGUUUAAAAUAACUUUCUAAUAUGACUCAUAUUUAUGGGAGGAAAAAGACUUGAAAGAUAUUCCUAUGUGUACUUUAAUUUUCUGUAAUAGUCCCUCUGGAAUAGAAUAUCUCUUCCUCAAACAAAUCUAUUGGCUCAUUUCAUAUACAAGAAAAAGUUGCCCUAAAUGGCAGAGUUUCAUCUCUGUAAAGAAGGCUGACAUCCACUUCCUUCACAGAAUCCCUGCAUUUGGGUAAUUGAGUAAUGAUAGAUUACCUUGCCAUUGGGAAAUACCUUGUUGUGGCCUUUGUAGCAGCUAUAGGAAGAUGGAAGAAUUCUUUUGUAUAGACAGGUCUCUAGCCUCUUUGGUGUGGACACUGUGAAGGGGUACAUCUGGUGAGAAGGAGUGCUUAGGGAAGGAACUGGGAAGGUCCACAAAGGCUGAUGAUGACAAAGAAUCCAAGGGCUAUGAUGAAUUCUUAAGCUUAGAUCUCAGAGUCAUAAAGUAAAUUUAUUAGGCUAGAGAGAUUUCCUUUUUUAUUUUUGAUCAAACUUUAUUUUUUCAGAUUGUUAAGUUCACAUGCAGUUGUACAAAAUAAUACAGAGAUCUUUGAACACUACCCAGUUUCUCCUAAUAGUAACUUCUUGCAAUAUACUGUAUAGCACAGCAUCACAACCUGGAUACUGACAUUGAUGCAGUCAAGACAGAGAACAUUUAUAUCAUGAGGAGGAUCCCUCAUUACCGCCCUUUGAUAUCCACCCCUACUUCCAGACCAUCUCACUCCUCCCUUAACCCUGGCAACCACUAGCAUGUUCUCCAUUUCUAUAAAUUUGCCUUUAUAGGAAUGUUAUAUAAUUGCAAUUAA